rnacentral:rRNA from 1 species
GAGCGCAGGCGGUUUUUUAAGUCUGAUGUGAAAGCCUUCGGCUUAACCCGGAGAAGUGCAUCGGGAAACUGGGAGACUUGAGUGCAGAAGAGGACAGUGGAACUCCAUGUGUAGCGGUGGAAUGCGUAGAUAUAUGGAAGAACACCAGUGGCGAAGGCGGCUGUCUAGUCUGUAACUGACGCUGAGGCUCGAAAGCAUGGGUAGCGAACAGGAUUAGAUACCCUGGUAGUCCCAUGCCGUAAACGAUGAGUGCUAAGUGUUGGAGGGUUUCCGCCCUUCAGUGCUGCAGCUAACGCAUUAAGCACUCCGCCUGGGGAGUACGACCGCAAGGUUGAAACUCAAAGGAAUUGACGGGGGCCCGCACAAGCGGUGGAGCAUGUGGUUUAAUUCGAAGCUACGCGAAGAACCUUACCAGGUCUUGACAUCUUCUGCCAAUCUUAGAGAUAAGACGUUCCCUUCGGGGACAGAAUGACAGGUGGUGCAUGGUUGUCGUCAGCUCGUGUCGUGAGAUGUUGGGUUAAGUCCCGCAACGAGCGCAACCCUUAUUAUCAGUUGCCAGCAUUCAGUUGGGCACUCUGGUGAGACUGCCGGUGACAAACCGGAGGAAGGUGGGGAUGACGUCAAAUCAUCAUGCCCCUUAUGACCUGGGCUACACACGUGCUACAAUGGACGGUACAACGAGUCGCGAAGUCGUGAGGCUAAGCUAAUCUCUUAAAGCCGUUCUCAGUUCGGAUUGUAGGCUGCAACUCGCCUACAUGAAGUUGGAAUCGCUAGUAAUCGCGGAUCAGCAUGCCGCGGUGAAUACGUUCCCGGGCCUUGUACACACCGCCCGUCACACCAUGAGAGUUUGUAACACCCAAAGCCGGUGAGAUAACCUUCGGG